rnacentral:rRNA from 1 species
CGACGAUUGCUGAGACAGGACUGUAAUGUAUUCCUUGGCUCUGCUAAUGGCUCGAUUAGAUCAGUUAUCGUUUAUUUGAUAGUACCUUACUACUUGGAUAACCGUGGUAAUUCUAGAGCUAAUACAUGCUAAAAACCUCGACUUCGGGAGGGGUGUAUUUAUUAGAUAAAAAACCAAUGCCCUUCGGGGCUCUUUGGUGAUUCAUGAUAACUUAACGGAUCGCAUAGCCUUGCGCUGGCGACGGUUCAUUCAAAUUUCUGCCCUAUCAACUUUCGAUGGUAAGGUAUUGGCUUACCAUGGUUUCAACGGGUAACGGGGAAUUAGGGUUCGAUUCCGGAGAGGGAGCCUGAGAAACGGCUACCACAUCCAAGGAAGGCAGCAGGCGCGCAAAUUACCCAAUCCCGACACGGGGAGGUAGUGACAAUAAAUACUGAUACAGGGCUCUUUUGGGUCUUGUAAUCGGAAUGAGUACAAUUUAAACCCCUUAACGAGGAACAAUUGGAGGGCAAGUCUGGUGCCAGCAGCCGCGGUAAUUCCAGCUCCGAUAGCGUAUAUUAAAGUUGUUGCAGUUAAAAAGCUCGUACUUGAACCUUGCGCCUGGCUGGGCGGUCCACCUCACCGCUUGCAAUGGUCCAGCCGGAACUUUCCUCCUUGGAAACCCCAUGCCCUUCACUCGCCGUGGGGGGGACGGGGACAUUUGCCUUCCCAAAAUCACACUGGGAGGGGAGGACCGUUCUCGAGUGCCCUCCCUGGAAAAAAACAAUAUACCCGCCGCCCGGGGAAACACGGGGGGAGGACCCCCGACCGCGAAA